rnacentral:rRNA from 1 species
UACGAACCGUACAAACGUUAUUCGGAAUCACUGGGCUUAAAGGGUGCGUAGGCGGCCAUGUAAGUGAGGUGUGAAAUCCCUCGGCUCAACCGAGGAACUGCGCUUCAUACUGCAUGGCUUGAGGGAGACAGGGGUAAGCGGAACUGAUGGUGGAGCGGUGAAAUGCGUUGAUAUCAUCAGGAACACCGGAGGCGAAAGCGGCUUACUGGGUCUCUUCUGACGCUGAGGUACGAAAGCUAGGGGAGCGAACGGG